UAUGUCUCAAUGGGCACAUGUUAGGUGCAUGCACUCUGCUGCCACUAUCUGACUCUGAGGAGGCAUCAGAUAUUGACUGAUGCUUAAAAAUGAGUAAAAUUUUGUUUGAGUUUUUUUGCAGAACAGAAAAGAGGAUCGAUACAAAACUUCUCAUUUUCGAAGCUGUGUCAACUGAUAGCUGCCCUCUUAUUCUAGUUCAAGUCUCUCUAUUUGUGCACAGAAUUUCAGUCGGUGAGAAGGCACAGAAAAUUGCUCAAGGGCUGUCUUAUAAGUUAUAACGCCAGAGAACAAGUAAAAAAGUCGCGUCAUGAGGAACUAGUUGAGUACUGGUCCGAAGAGUCUUGUAUAUUUGCUGCUUCAAAAUUAAGACCAAAACUGUUGGUGUAAUUUUGCCAAGGCAGUUGGUGUAAGUAUUUAUCAUCGAUCCAUGAAAUUUUAAGUUCCUUUUCUUGCUA